UCUCAAUAACAUAAACUUUUCAACAAUAAUUUUAAUCCAAUUUAGAACUCAGAGAAAAUUAAGACAAAAGAUUGGUAAAUUUACCUACUCAUUCUCGAUUCUGCAAGUUUCAUCAUGGAAGUAGUCGAGUUGUGGAGGAUCAAACCAAACGCAAAUUGCAUGAUUGUUACACCUUUGGGUAGAAACUAAUCAUGCAAAGAAAAUACCUGCAUAGCUAGCCAAAACAUAAAAUACACAAAAUACAUAUAGCUUCAACAGCUUUGGCCAGAUGAAAAUAUGUUAGAAGUAUUUUAUGUUGCUAUAAUAAUUUAUAGUUGGUAAAUGAUUUCCUGAAAUUCCCUUUGGGACAAAAGUAUUCACCAUAUAAAUUAGAAUGAGGACUGCUAAACCCACCCCGUUGUCUUAUUUCACCACCCACAUUAUAUUUACACCCACUAUAAAAAGUUAAAAAAUUAAAAUGUUAUUUUCCCACCCACUAUUAUUCCUAAAAUAACCCUAUAUAUAAUUAGAGAUAAAUUUCUUUUAAAAAAAAAAGAAAAUAAACAAACCUUCUAAAAAUAGGAAAAAAAGAAAAGAAAAAAAACCAUGUUUCCUUUCCAAAUUCCAAUUUAAGUGUCCUUUUCGAGAUGCAUACCAAUUUGAGUGUCCUUUCCAAAUUUUCCCUAACCUAAUUAAAACAAUUCCAACGAAUUCUUGGAAUUCUCAUAGGAAAACAUGAAACAAAUUGUACCCUAACCUAAUGCAAAUUCAAAUAAAAAGUCACAAAGCUAUGCUUCAAUUAUUCAUGUCGACAAAUCAAGAUGGUCCACAUAAAAUUAUCUUUUACCUGUUCGACGGAAACAUAGUCAUCUACUUGUUCCAUAGAAAUGUCAUCUUCUAAGUUUAUUCUUUUUGCUUUCUCUGAAUGAAAGGGGAUGAAAAGGAUGAGUUAGGGUUUAUGGGAGACAAAUUUUCUAAACUUUUCUUUUCUUUUCUUUUUUUAUAAAAAAAAAAUUAAUGCAAAAAGGAGUAAGUAAGGUCCCUAUUAGUCAUUUUACAAAUGGAUAAAUUUGUAACUAAAAAAUUCAUAAAAAGGUGGGUGGGGAAAUAAGACAUCGGGGUGGGAAUAUCACCACUCAUUAGAAUUUUGAUUUGUCAAAAUAAUCCUUUAGAACAGUAUUAAAUAACCGUUUUGUUGGAUAUUCAAUGAUUCUCAAAAGAUUAAAUUAGACACAAAAGUAUGUCGUUAUUGAACAAUAGAGUUCUCGAAAGAGGAAACAUGGUUAUUCAGCUAUUCGAUAGGGACCAAAAUGAUCAAUUAGUAAACUGAUACCACUUUCCAAUUUUUGUCUCAAAAGACAAUAAUCAUCAUAAUCAAAAUUGAUGACCAAACAAAAUAAACCAAUUCACUUUUCAACCAAAAUUUAAUCAGUGUUUACUAAUAAAAGUCAUUAGAAUUGAGAAUUUGCAUUGAAAACCAGGACAUAUUAGAGCAAAUAAACAUGUCAAACAAUUGGUACUAUUGGAUAUGCACAAAUUAGUGAAAACAAUAUUGCAUAACAUAACUAGUUUUUGAAGUACCAAAAAUUCAACAAUGCCACUUUAGUUUGCAAAUUCACUAAAAAACUCAAUUCUCUUUAGAUUGUCAUGAAAAGUUUUAGGUAUGAACUAGACAUGUAUGACUACUGUUUUGGAAAAUUUCAUGAUUUUUUUUUUUUUAAAUAUUAUAAGCGAGCCAAAAAUGAAUUCGAAAAGAGAGGUGCUGCAGAAACUACAGAAAAUCUGCAGUACAUACCUAAGAUUAAAAUUCACCAAAUAUUCAUUGUUCAUCCGAUAUGCAUGAAAAUUUUCAGAAAAUAAGUAAACAUACAAAUCUGUUAAUUCCUAAUAUUUCAUAAUUUUUUUUUUUUACACUUUACAAGUGUACUAAAAGAAAAUACGAAAUGGGAUGUGCUGCAGAGAUGGCAAAAAUUCUGCAGUACAUACCGGAGACUAAAUAAUUCACCAAAAAAUUCAAUUUUUCUCCAAUGUGCAUGAAAGUUUCCAGAAAUGAAGUAGACAUAUAAAUUUACUGUCUCCCAAAAUUCCAUAAUUUGUUCGAUUCUACAAGUGGGCUAAAAAUAAAAUCGAAUGGAAUGUGCUGCAGAAGAUGCAUAAAUUCUGCAGUACAUUCCUGAGAUUAAAACUUCACCAAUAAAUCAUUUUCAGAC
rnacentral:lncRNA from 1 species